rnacentral:rRNA from 1 species
UACGGAAGGCAGCAGUGGGGAAUAUUGCACAAUGGGCGAAAGCCUGAUGCAGCUAUGCCGCGUGUAUGAAGAAGGCCUUAGGGUUGUAAAGUACUUUCAUCGGGGAGGAAAAAACAAAACUAAUAAUUUUAUUUCUUGACGUUACCCGAAAAAGAAGCACCGGCUAACUCCGUGCCAGCAGCCGCGGUAAUACGGAGGGUGCUAGCGUUAAUCAGAAUUACUGGGCGUAAAGAGCACGUAGGUGGUUUUUUAAGUCAGAUGUGAAAUCCCUGGGCUUAACCUAGGAACUGCAUUUUGAAACUGAAAUACUAGAGUAUCGUAGAGGGAGGUAGAAUUCUAGGUGUAGCGGUGAAAUGCGUAGAUAUCUGGAGGAAUACCUGUGGCGAAAGCGGCCUCCUAAACGAAUACUGACACUGAGGGUGCGAAAAGCGUGGGGAGCAAAACAGGGAUUAGAUACCC